AUUGAACGCUGGCGGCAGGCCUAACACAUGCAAGUCGAACGGUAACAGGAAGAAGCUUGCUUCUUUGCUGACGAGUGGCGGACGGGUGAGUAAUGUCUGGGAAACUGCCUGAUAGAGGGGGAUAACUACUGGAAACGGUAGCUAAUACCGCAUAACGUCGCAAGACCAAAGAGGGGGACCUUCGGGCCUCUUGCCAUCGGAUGUGCCCAGAUGGGAUUAGCUAGUAGGUGGGGUAACGGCUCACCUAGGCGACGAUCCCUAGCUGGUCUGAGAGGAUGACCAGCCACACUGGAACUGAGACACGGUCCAGACUCCUACGGGAGGCAGCAGUGGGGAAUAUUGCACAAUGGGCGCAAGCCUGAUGCAGCCAUGCCGCGUGUAUGAAGAAGGCCUUCGGGUUGUAAAGUACUUUCAGCGGGGAGGAAGGGAGUAAAGUUAAUACCUUUGCUCAUUGACGUUACCCGCAGAAGAAGCACCGGCUAACUCCGUG
rnacentral:rRNA from 1 species